rnacentral:lncRNA from 1 species
CUAUGUUAUUAUCUCCACCACUUUGUGGAAGAGGAAACAAAGUUCAGACUUACCAAGAGCCAUAGGGCUCAUGUCUGCCAUUAUAUUGGCUUAGUUUGUUUUAGUAAUAACUUCUUUCUUUCUUCCUUUCUUCCUUCCUUCCUUUCUUUCUUUCUUUCUUGAUUGCUUGCUUUCUCUUUCCUUCUUUCUUCCUUCCUUUCUUCCUUCCUUUCUUCCUUCCUUCCUUCCUUCCUUCCUUCCUUCCUUCCUUCCUUCCUUCCUUCCUUCCUUCCUUCCUUCCUUCCUUCCUUCCUUCCUUCCUUCCUUUCUUUCUUUCUUUCUUUCUUUCCUUUCUUCCUUCCCUUUCUUUCUUUCUUUCUUUCUUUCUUUCUUUCUUUCUUUCUUUCUUUCUUUCUUUCUUUCUUUCUUUCUUUCUUUCUUCCUUCCUUCCUUCCUUCCUUUCUUUCUCUCUUUCUUUUGUUCCUUCCUUCCUUCCUUCCUUCCUUCCUUCCUUCCUUCCUUCCCUUUCCUUCCUUCCUUCCUUCCUUCCUUCCUUCUUUCUCAAAGGGAAUGAGAGAGGCAGGAGAUAGAAAUUAAAUGCUGUCUCUAAAAAAUACACUC